rnacentral:rRNA from 1 species
GAUGAACGCUGGCUACAGGCUUAACACAUGCAAGUCGAGGGGAAACGACGGGGAAGCUUGCUUCCCCGGGCGUCGACCGGCGCACGGGUGAGUAACGCGUAUCCAACCUGCCUCUGACUGAGGGAUAACCCGUCGAAAGUCGGCCUAAUACCUCAUGGCAUCGUCUGCGGGCAUCCAACGACGAUUAAAGAUUUCAUCGGUCAGAGAUGGGGAUGCGUCUGAUUAGCCAGUUGGCGGGGUAACGGCCCACCAAGGCGACGAUCAGUAGGGGUUCUGAGAGGAAGGUCCCCCACAUUGGAACUGAGACACGGUCCAAACUCCUACGGGAGGCAGCAGUGAGGAAUAUUGGUCAAUGGGCGAGAGCCUGAACCAGCCAAGUAGCGUGCAGGAUGACGGCCCUAUGGGUUGUAAACUGCUUUUAUGCGGGGAUAAAGUGAGGGACGUGUCCUUCAUUGCAGGUACCGCAUGAAUAAGGACCGGCUAAUUCCGUGCCAGCAGCCGCGGUAAUACGGAAGGUCCGGGCGUUAUCCGGAUUUAUUGGGUUUAAAGGGAGCGUAGGCCGUGGAUUAAGCGUGUUGUGAAAUGCAGGUGCUCAACGUCUGCACUGCAGCGCGAACUGGUCCACUUGAGUGUGCGCAACGCAGGCGGAAUUCGUCGUGUAGCGGUGAAAUGCUUAGAUAUGACGAAGAACUCCGAUUGCGAAGGCAGCUUGCGGGAGCACAACUGACGCUGAAGCUCGAAAGUGCGGGUAUCGAACAGG